GUGCUCACUUCAGGAGUACGUAAUAAACAGGAAUGAGGGAAAAUUAGCAUAGUUCUUGCACAUGAGUGACACGCAGAUUCAUGAAACAAUCCAAAUUCUG
rnacentral:snRNA from 1 species